rnacentral:rRNA from 1 species
GCCAGCUGCACCGCUGGGUAGCUAUAUGCGGAAUGGAUAAGCGCUGAAAGCAUCUAAGCACGAAGCCAACUCCAAGAUGAGUAUUCCAUUGAGGGCCGCAGAAGAUUACUGCGUUGAUAGGCUAUAGGUGGAAGUGCAGUAAUGUAUGGAGCCGAGUAGUACUAAUCGCCCGACAGCUUCCUUUUU